rnacentral:rRNA from 1 species
CCAGAGAACUUAGCAGAGAUGCUUGGUGCCUUCGGGAACUCUGAGACAGGUGCUGCAUGGCUGUCGUCAGCUCGUGUUGUGAAAUGUUGGGUUAAGUCCCGCAACGAGCGCAACCCUUAUCCUUUGUUGCCAGCGGCUCGGCCGGGAACUCAAAGGAGACUGCCGGUGAUAAACCGGAGGAAGGUGGGGAUGACGUCAAGUCAUCAUGGCCCUUACGGCCAGGGCUACACACGUGCUACAAUGGCGCAUACAAAGAGAAGCGACCUCGCGAGAGCAAGCGGACCUCAUAAAGUGCGUCGUAGUCCGGAUUGGAGUCUGCAACUCGACUCCAUGAAGUCGGAAUCGCUAGUAAUCGUAGAUCAGAAUGCUACGGUGAAUACGUUCCCGGGCCUUGUACACACCGCCCGUCACACCAUGGGAGUGGGUUGCAAAAGAAGUAGGUAGCUUAACCUUCGGGAGGGCGCUUACCACUUUGUGAUUCAUGACUGGGGUGAAGUCGUAACAAGGUAAGCGUAGCGAG